rnacentral:rRNA from 1 species
AUGGCGGGUGCGGCGAAGGCGUCAUGGACGGUGGCGAUGAGUGUGGGCGCGGUGGAGGCGCUCAAGGACCAGGCGGGGCUCUGCCGCUGGAACUAUGCGCUCAAGUCCAUCCACCGAGCUGCCAAGGCCACCGUCCGCGGUGGCGUCUCGCAGGGCAGCAAGCAGCUUCAGGCCUCCGCGUCGGCCGUGGCGGAGAGGCGUCGAGCAGAGAAAGCAGAGGAGGGGCUGAGGACGGCGAUGUACCUCAGUUGCUGGGGUCCCAGUUAG